ACGAACGCUGGCGGCGUGCCUAAUACAUGCAAGUAGAACGCUGAAGAGAGGAGCUUGCUCUUCUUGGAUGAGUUGCGAACGGGUGAGUAACGCGUAGGUAACCUGCCUUGUAGCGGGGGAUAACUAUUGGAAACGAUAGCUAAUACCGCAUAACAAUGGAUGACCCAUGUCAUUUAUUUGAAAGGGGCAAAUGCUCCACUACAAGAUGGACCUGCGUUGUAUUAGCUAGUAGGUGAGGUAACGGCUCACCUAGGCGACGAUACAUAGCCGACCUGAGAGGGUGAUCGGCCACACUGGGACUGAGACACGGCCCAGACUCCUACGGGAGGCAGCAGUAGGGAAUCUUCGGCAAUGGGGGCAACCCUGACCGAGCAACGCCGCGUGAGUGAAGAAGGUUUUCGGAUCGUAAAGCUCUGUUGUAAGUCAAGAACGAGUGUGAGAGUGGAAAGUUCACACUGUGACGGUAGCUUACCAGAAAGGGACGGCUAACUACGUGCCAGCAGCCGCGGUAAUACGUAGGUCCCGAGCGUUGUCCGGAUUUAUUGGGCGUAAAGCGAGCGCAGGCGGUUUGAUAAGUCUGAAGUUAAAGGCUGUGGCUCAACCAUAGUUUGCUUUGGAAACUGUCAAACUUGAGUGCAGAAGGGGAGAGUGGAAUUCCAUGUGUAGCGGUGAAAUGCGUAGAUAUAUGGAGGAACACCGGUGGCGAAAGCGGCUCUCUGGUCUGUAACUGACGCUGAGGCUCGAAAGCGUGGGGAGCGAACAGGAUUAGAUACCCUGGUAGUCCACGCCGUAAACGAUGAGUGCUAGGUGUUGGAUCCUUUCCGGGAUUCAGUGCCGCAGCUAACGCAUUAAGCACUCCGCCUGGGGAGUACGACCGCAAGGUUGAAACUCAAAGGAAUUGACGGGGGCCCGCACAAGCGGUGGAGCAUGUGGUUUAAUUCGAAGCAACGCGAAGAACCUUACCAGGUCUUGACAUCCCGAUGCUAUUUCUAGAGAUAGAAAGUUACUUCGGUACAUCGGUGACAGGUGGUGCAUGGUUGUCGUCAGCUCGUGUCGUGAGAUGUUGGGUUAAGUCCCGCAACGAGCGCAACCCCUAUUGUUAGUUGCCAUCAUUCAGUUGGGCACUCUAGCGAGACUGCCGGUAAUAAACCGGAGGAAGGUGGGGAUGACGUCAAAUCAUCAUGCCCCUUAUGACCUGGGCUACACACGUGCUACAAUGGUUGGUACAACGAGUUGCGAGUCGGUGACGGCAAGCUAAUCUCUUAAAGCCAAUCUCAGUUCGGAUUGUAGGCUGCAACUCGCCUACAUGAAGUCGGAAUCGCUAGUAAUCGCGGAUCAGCACGCCGCGGUGAAUACGUUCCCGGGCCUUGUACACACCGCCCGUCACACCACGAGAGUUUGUAACACCCGAAGUCGGUGAGGUAACCUUUUGGAGCCAGCCGCCUAAGGUGGGAUAGAUGAUUGGGGUG
rnacentral:rRNA from 1 species